AUGAUGGCUUCCGCAACACAUAUACUAAAAUUGGAAUGACACAGAGAAUAUUAGCAUGACCCCUGCACAAGAAUGCCACACAAAUUUGUGAAGUGUUCUAUAUUUUU
rnacentral:snRNA from 1 species